UCUUCUAUAAUUAAAUGUUUAUUAUUCAAUCUUUCAGCUGGAGAGGUGUUAUCAACGCAGCGUCCACUAGUAAAGUGUCGACCGCUUCACGCUGCCACUCUAGAGUCUAGGAACAAAGCGAAGAAAUGUGCUGAAUUCUUGCAGCCUUAUAGACAACGGCCAGAAACAUGCACAGCAUUGGCAAGGCGGCUGGUCUCUGGUGCUCUGGGCGUCAAGCUGAGCACGGCGCGACAGGAGCGAGCUGAAGAGAGGAGACUUAUUACUCUUGCCAGAGAAAAGAAACGCCAAGCGGCUCUACACAAAGAGGCGGCGUGGGACGGCUCACUCGCCAACCAGUCCGUCGACACGUGAGAUUCCACCCGAGAUGGCGUCACGAUCGAGCUCUCAAAGAACAUGUUCGUUUUACUAAAGUUUACGUCAUAGAUAUAAUAAAUACGUCUAUAGAUAUUUUU